UAGGUUUGUCCUAAGUCAAAGCCUCUUCAAGUUUGACCAAAAAUAUAGCAACAUUUCCAACACAAAAUAAAUGUGCUAUAAAAAUAUAUUCAAUGGUGGAUUUAAUGAAACUAAUUUUGUGUUAUGGAUGUUAAUACAUUUUUUAUAAACUUAAUCAAACUUGAAGAGUUUUUACUUGGAACAAACCCAA
rnacentral:pre_miRNA from 1 species